UACGUAGGGUGCAAGCGUUAAUCGGAAUUACUGGGCGUAAAGCGUGCGCAGGCGGUUUUGUAAGACAGGCGUGAAAUCCCCGGGCUCAACCUGGGAAUGGCGCUUGUGACUGCAAAGCUGGAGUGCGGCAGAGGGGGGAUGGAAUUCCGCGUGUAGCAGUGAAAUGCGUAGAUAUGCGGAGGAACACCGAAAUGGGCGAAAGGCAAAUCCCCCUGGGGCCUGCACUGACGCUCAUGC
rnacentral:rRNA from 1 species